rnacentral:lncRNA from 1 species
AUGGUGGAUGUUGGGUUUGAGUAACUUUAUAUUUCGUUUUCCUCUCCCUUUGCUGCUGUUCUUCUCGGUUUUCAAUUCAUUUUGGUUGGUUGGAUGAUAAAAAUGGAGUUUUAUGUGAGUUUUGGGUUGAAGAGAGCUUAAGUUGAUGUGUGGGUGUUGUGGUUUGGACUCUUUCUUCUUGUUUUUCGGUUUUGAUGUUUGAAAAAAGGAUGGAACCAGUUCUUGGUGUUGUUAUGGUGGCUGGACAGAACUGGAAUGAUGGCAUAAGUAUUAU